ensembl:miRNA gmo-mir-22a-2 gmo-mir-22a-2
CUUCACUGGCAAGCUUUACGUUCCUGUUGUACUGCUAAAGCUGCCAGCUGAAGAA